GACGAACGCUGGCGGCGUGCUUAACACAUGCAAGUCGAGCGGUAAGGCCCUUUCGGGGGUACACGAGCGGCGAACGGGUGAGUAACACGUGGGUGACCUGCCCUCAGCUCUGGGAUAAGCCUGGGAAACUGGGUCUAAUACCGGAUAUGACCUCCUAUCGCAUGGUGGGUGGUGGAAAGUUUUUUCGGCUGGGGAUGGGCCCGCGGCCUAUCAGCUUGUUGGUGGGGUGAUGGCCUACCAAGGCGACGACGGGUAGCCGGCCUGGGAGGGCGACCGGCAACACUGGGACUGCGACACGGCCCAGAUUCCUACGGGAGGCAGCAGUGGGGAAUAUUGCGCAAUGGGCGAAAACCUGACGCAGCGACGCCGCGUGGGGGAUGACGGCCUUCGGGUUGUAAACCUCUGUCGACCUUGACGAAGGCCUUCGGGUUGACGGUAGGGGUAGAAGAAGCACCGGCCAACUACGUGCCAGCCGCCGCAGUAA
rnacentral:rRNA from 1 species